rnacentral:rRNA from 1 species
GACUUCUGGUUUAAUGCACCUGGCCCGCGGCCCACAAGGCCUGUGAGUGCCGGCGCGCGUUUACUCCAGCAACGGCUACCCUUGACUGGGCGGCUGGAACUGGAUCUUUUACUUUGAAAAAAUUAGAGUGUUGCAGGCGUUUGCUCUGAAUACAUUAGCAUGGAAUAAUAAUCUAUUUUGUUGGUUUCUAUAACUGAAGUAAUGAUUGAUAGGGAUAGUUGGGGGUGCUAGUAUUGGCCGGUCAGAGGUGAAAUUCUUGGAUUCGGUCAAGACUAACUUAUGCGAAAGCAUU